UCACCUGGGUCUUUCAUCCUGGGCUUCUUCCUCUCAUGGUGGCCACAGGUGUUCCGAGGGGAUGAGGUUGGACACUACAAGGCCUGUGAAGGUGUAGGCUCUGAGGCUGCAUAACUUCACUUCCACUGCAUUCUCUUGGUCAAAGCAGCAGACAAGGCUGCUCGGACACAAAGAGUGGAGAGACGCCUUCGUUGCUCUUUUCCCAUCUGUGUCCAGUUCAUUCCUACCAAGACAGCCACUCUCUAGGAGAGCCCCGACCAGGAAAGAAGUUAGUUUCAGGUGCAUCCGACAGGGGAGACACAGAGGAGGCCUCUCAACAAAACAGCAGGAUGCAGUUGGAGAAACUGGUUGUUUUUACCAAGGCUUGGACUGGAAAGGGCAUGCUUCCCUUAAAAAAAUCAAGCUUGACUUGCAGAGCCAAUAGAAGCCUGUUGGGAAAACCGGCCUCAUACCUUGUCUACCUAGUCCCUCUACAGGGUUCUUAACCUGUGGU
rnacentral:lncRNA from 1 species